rnacentral:rRNA from 1 species
AGCUUGCUGAUUCGCUGACGAGUGGCGGACGGGUGAGUAAUGUCUGGGAAACUGCCUGAUGGAGGGGGAUAACUACUGGAAACGGUAGCUAAUACCGCAUAACGUCGCAAGACCAAAGAGGGGGACCUUCGGGCCUCUUGCCAUCGGAUGUGCCCAGAUGGGAUUAGCUUGUUGGUGGGGUAACGGCUCACCAAGGCGACGAUCCCUAGCUGGUCUGAGAGGAUGACCAGCCACACUGGAACUGAGACACGGUCCAGACUCCUACGGGAGGCAGCAGUGGGGAAUAUUGCACAAUGGGCGCAAGCCUGAUGCAGCCAUGCCGCGUGUAUGAAGAAGGCCUUCGGGUUGUAAAGUACUUUCAGCGGGGGAGGAAAGGGGAGUAAAGUUAAUACCUUUGCUCAUUGACGUUACCCGCAGAAGAAGCACCGGGCUAACUCCGUGCCAGCAGCCGCGGUAAUACGGAGGGUGGCAGCGUUAAUCGGAAUUACUGGGCGUAAAGCGCACGCAGGCGGUUUGUUAAGUCAGAUGUGAAAUCCCCGGGCUCAACCUGGGAACUGCAUCUGAUACUGGCAAGCUUGAGUCUCGUAGAGGGGGGUAGAAUUCCAGGUGUAGCGGUGAAAUGCGUAGAGAUCUGGAGGAAUACCGGUGGCGAAGGCGGCCCCCUGGACGAAGACUGACGCUCAGGUGCGAAAGCGUGGGGAGCAAACAGGAUUAGAUACCCUGGUAGUCCACGCCGUAAACGAUGUCGACUUGGAGGUUGUGCCCUUGAGGCGUGGCUUCCGGAGCUAACGCGUUAAGUCGACCGCCUGGGGAGUACGGCCGCAAGGUUAAAACUCAAAUGAAUUGACGGGGGCCCGCACAAGCGGUGGAGCAUGUGGUUUAAUUCGAUGCAACGCGAAGAACCUUACCUGGUCUUGACAUCCACAGAACUUUCCAGAGAUGGAUUGGUGCCUUCGGGAACUGUGAGACAGGUGCUGCAUGGCUGUCGUCAGCUCGUGUUGUGAAAUGUUGGGUUAAGUCCCGCAACGAGCGCAACCCUUAUCCUUUGUUGCCAGCGGUCCGGCCGGGAACUCAAAGGAGACUGCCAGUGAUAAACUGGAGGAAGGUGGGGAUGACGUCAAGUCAUCAUGGCCCUUACGACCAGGGCUACACACGUGCUACAAUGGCGCAUACAAAGAGAAGCGACCUCGCGAGAGCAAGCGGACCUCAUAAAGUGCGUCGUAGUCCGGAUUGGAGUCUGCAACUCGACUCCAUGAAGUCGGAAUCGCUAGUAAUCGUGGAUCAGAAUGCCACGGUGAAUACGUUCCCGGGCCUUGUACACACCGCCCGUCCACCAUGGGAGUGGGUUGCAAAAGAAGUAGGAUAGGUUUGAUCUCUGGCUACAGCUGAAACGCAGCGUCAGUUCACC